UAUGUUGUCAUUUUUCUCAAAUGUGGCCUGGCUGCAACAAGAUUGGAAAUUACUGAUCCUACAGUAAAUCAGAUAAUCUCUGUAGGCCUUGGUUUCUCCAUAUGAAAAAGUGGGAUCAAUGCAGGGUUUUAAUAAAAGCUCUGAAUACUUGAGGACCCCAGCUAUUGGAGAACCGGAGAAGGUGCUGUGCUGCUUGCAGAGUAGGCAGUGCUGCAGAUCCUCUCCGUGUAUGAGUUUGCAUCACAGCUGCCUACCUACAGCAUGGUCUAGAGCUUCUGUGUACCUCUGCAAUAAAAAUACUCACUGGCAAAGCAUAAGUGAAAAUUUACUAUGUAGCGUAACUACUCGGGGCUGGCAUCAGGUCCAGUGUCGGUGGGUGAGACCUGUGCGAGUGCAGCACGUGGAGUGGAUGUACACAACUUGGGGCAGCACUGUGGCUGUUUGCAGGGAUUUGGCCUGUCUACCUGACUGUGAAAACCAGUCCCCUGCCCUCAGUCUGCUGCAUGCCAGCGUUGAGCCCAGACCGUCACCACCCAGGUUUUGCCCCUUACUUCUUAUCCUGUUAGUGUCCUGUCACCACAGAAAAGAGUCUGGCUCAUUCUUCUCUACUCCUCCUGACCACCAUCAGAGAGGACAUGAAUUAUCUUUCUGACACCGUAUCUGAUCUUGCAGGAAAGGUGGUAGCCCUGCUGUCUGAGCAGAUCUUCAGGAGUAUGAUGGGAGAGUAUUUCUAGAGUUUCCACCUGCAGGGCAUACCUGUGUAAUGGGAUUUUAUACUGCCCUGGUGUCCUUCCUGAAGAAGAUGACCAUGGAUCUCUGAAAGUCCAGCGAUUUGGACACCAAUAUUCUUCCAGAAGACAGCACCAGAUCCUGUUUUUCUACACUUCUAACAUCACGGAGAUGACACUCUUUACAUGGGUAAAGUGAGAAGCAUUUCUUAGGAGUGUCUUGUGAUUUCUUUUCCGCUUAUAGACUGCCUGCUUUUUUGCCAGAUGUAAUAAAUAAAUACGUCAGGCUUCUCUGAGAUGCUUUGGCACAUGCCCUCACCAGAAGAACUGGGGCUCACAGGGAAGACAUGGUAACUCUCAUUUCCCACCUGCACCACACCAGGAGGUGCCUGGGGUCAAAUGGCAUCCCCACUGACACCACCUCUCCGAAACCUCAUGUUUUGAAGAGGAAAGAUGAUGCAGUGCUUUUCUGUCUCUGCAACAGGGCACUCAUGACCUUCAUCAAAUACAUUUUCCGAAGUGUUUUUAUUUACAUAUUAUAGCACAAGUAGAAAAAUACAUUUAAAAUAUUACCAAGUUAAUCCCUUUCUAGUUAGCUUGUGACCCUUACGGGAUGGAGAAAGAUGUUCCAUUUUUCUCCAAAACCAUGAAUUGGCAAAGUCAGCUAACAGUAUAUUCCAAUCUCUUUUAACUUAUGUUGUAUUAUUUCCAGUUUAUAAUUAUUCAAGCACUUCCU